rnacentral:lncRNA from 1 species
CCUCCCAGGUUGCCGCGGAAAGGCGUGGAGCACGCAUUCCGAUUUUAGCUGUAAUGCAUGCUGUUUCGAGUUUUGUUGUCCUGCUUGGAAAGCCC